GACGAACGCUGGCGGCGUGCUUAACACAUGCAAGUCGAACGGAAAGGCCCUUCUUUUGUGGUAUGCUCGUGUGGCGCACGUGUGUGUAACACGUGUGUCCCCUGCCCUUUACUUUGGUAUAUCUUCAGGAAACUGGGUCUAAUACCGUAUAUGAGCUCCUUCUGCAUGGUGGGUUUUAGAGAGUUUCGGCGUUUGGGGAUGGACUCGCGGCUUAUCAUUUUGUUGGUGGGGUAGUGUCUUACCAAGGCUUUGACGGGUAGCCGGACUGAGAGGGUGACCGGCAAAAUUGGGACUGGGAAAGGGCCAGGACGCAAACGGGGGGAAGAAGGGGGGAAAAUGGAAAAAUGGGCGGAAGCAGGAGGCAGAAAGGCCGGGUGGGGGAGGACGGCUUUCGGGUUGUAAACCGCUUUAGCCUGGGAAGAAGAGUGAGUGACGGUAAUGGGUAAAGAAGCACCGGCUAACUACGUG
rnacentral:rRNA from 1 species